rnacentral:rRNA from 1 species
UACAGGGGGGGCAAGCGUUGUUCGGAAUUACUGGGCGUAAAGGGUCUGUAGGUGGCUUGCUAAGUCAGACGUGAAAUCCCUCAGCUUAACUGGGGAACUGCGUCUGAUACUGGCGAGCUUGAGUGCAGGAGAGGAACGCGGAAUUCCAGGUGUAGCGGUGAAAUGCGUAGAUAUCUGGAGGAACACCGGUGGCGAAGGCGGCGUUCUGGACUGCAACUGACACUGAUGAACGAAAGCCAGGGGAGCAAACGGG